GGUGGACGCUUAACCGACAGAGCCACCCAGGCACCCCAUAAAACGUGUGAAAAUCCCAGGCGCCCUUUGUGUUAAAACGAGUUUUCGCAGCUUCCGCUUGCAGAGACAGCCGCAUUACAUAAUUGCAUUCAGGAGGCCACCACUAGAAAGUAGCUCAUGUGCACGAUCAACGCUAAAUUCUUUGGGGAGGGGGGGAAAGAAACACACCUUCUCGGACUUUCUUUGUUGUACUUUUCACAAUCGAGCGCAGUGGCCAUCAGGGGUCUUCUUCUGAGCUGUCACAUUGCUUAAAUGAGUGCAUGUCGGACAUUUCCAGAGGGGCGAGCUCGGUAGGCACCAAAAAGGGAAGGGUCUCCUCGAGGCUUUGACGGGCCCCGUCGGUUUGGGUUUUUCGGAACGAAGGCGUAGAGCACUUUAACUUCGGAGCAAGUUGCCCUCGUUCAACACGGAGUUCAAAGACUCUCAGACACUUGGAGGGAGAGGAGGGGAGAAGUUCUAGGCUUUGCUCCUCACAGGCGAACACCCCACGGUGACAUUUGAAAGGCACCGUGGAGGUAAUGACUGCUCCAAAUAUACUUAGAAACGCUUCGCUCUUCGUUGUUCUUUGUGUGUCUCAUUAUUGUCAUGUCAAAAAAAAAAAAAAAAAAAGUUGCAAGUGACACAUGUUGUUCCUCUGAAAAAGAAAGUCCAAGUCCGCAGGUGAAACCUAAGCGUAUACGCGGGAAGCGGAGGCCCGAACGUCACCUCCGUGAGCACAGAGACCGCGUCGCCUCUGGCUGCGGGCGUCGUAACAGAAAGGCAUUUCAGUUACUGCGGGUUCGCCCAUCACUGCUCCACUCCGCCUUCUGGGUGCCUGGGAUGCUUAUCGGUACAGAUCUGAGCACAAUCCCCAAGGAGCGAGCAGAAGAAUCCUGAACAUUCCAGUCCAUUGUUUCAGUAACACGGCCCGGCCCGGCCGCUAACUCCACUGUCCGUAUCAGAUUGCGGUUCGGUCCUCGGGAGCUGCAAGGGCCAUCGCCGCCAAGUCAGCUUCCCUUCUGGGGCUUCAACUUGAGCCACCUCUGUUCCGACCUCAGGACCUUUGCUCCUGCUCUGCCUUCUGCCCCGAGGAGCACUGCCCCCUGGUGUGCGUGGCCGGGCCUUUCUGCCAUUCAGGGGUCAGCCCUUCGCGGCACCCACCAACACCCAGUCCCUUAUUGUGUUUCCUUCCUGCCCCUUAUUACGUACGUGACAUUCGUGUCUUCAUGUGUCUACCUGUUCCAUUUCAGAAUCCCUGACUCAAACAUCAGGCACGCAAGCUUGUUCUGAGCUCAUCUCUCCGAAAACACGGUACCGGGCCAUGAGUCACCUUAGCCGUGAAACCAAAAGCUCACUUUAUGUUAGUGAUUCAUUUGUGUUUUUGAAAUUAAACAAUAAUUUCCUUUA